rnacentral:rRNA from 1 species
UACAGAGACUGCAAGCGUUAUUCGGAUUCAUUGGGCGUAAAGGGUGCGCAGGCGGCCAAGUGUGUUAGGCGUGAAAGCCCGAGGCUUAACCUCGGAAUUGCACCUAAAACUACAUGGCUAGAGUACUGGAGAGGGUAACGGAAUUCACGGUGUAGCAGUGAAAUGCGUAGAUAUCAGGAGGAACACCAGUGGCGAAGGCGGUGCUCUGGGCCGGUACUGACGCUGAGGAGCGAAAGCGUGGGUAGCAAACAGG